rnacentral:rRNA from 1 species
GUGUGUGUGACUGCCCUAUGGGUUGUAAACUCCUUUUAUACAGGAAGAAACCUCGGGAUGUAUACCCACUUGACGGUACUGUAAGAAUAAGGACCGGCUAACUCCAUGCCAGCAGCCGCGGUAAU